CACGUAGGGGGCAAGCGUUGUCCGGAAUUAUUGGGCGUAAAGAGCUCGUAGGCGGCUCGGUAAGUCAGGUGUCAAAUCCUCAGGCUCAACCUGGGGCUCCACCUGAUACUGCUGUGGCUAGAGUCCGGUAGGGGAGCGUGGAAUUCCUGGUGUAGCGGUGAAAUGCGCAGAUAUCAGGAAGAACACCCGUGGCGAAGGCGGCUCUCUGGGACGGUACUGACGCUGAGACGCGAAAGCGUGGGGAGCGAACAGG
rnacentral:rRNA from 1 species